rnacentral:rRNA from 1 species
GGAAAGGCGCGCGAUACAGGGUGACAGCCCCGUACACAAAAAUGCACAUGCUGUGAGCUCGAUGAGUAGGGCGGGACACGUGGUAUCCUGUCUGAAUAUGGGGGGACCAUCCUCCAAGGCUAAAUACUCCUGACUGACCGAUAGUGAACCAGUACCGUGAGGGAAAGGCGAAAAGAACCCCGGCGAGGGGAGUGAAAAAGAACCUGAAACCGUGUACGUACAAGCAGUGGGAGCACGCUUAGGCGUGUGACUGCGUACCUUUUGUAUAAUGGGUCAGCGACUUAUAUUCUGUAGCAAGGUUAACCGAAUAGGGGAGCCGAAGGGAAACCGAGUCUUAACUGGGCGUUAAGUUGCAGGGUAUAGACCCGAAACCCGGUGAUCUAGCCAUGGGCAGGUUGAAGGUUGGGUAACACUAACUGGAGGACCGAACCGACUAAUGUUGAAAAAUUAGCGGAUGACUUGUGGCUGGGGGUGAAAGGCCAAUCAAACCGGGAGAUAGCUGGUUCUCCCCGAAAGCUAUUUAGGUAGCGCCUCGUGAAUUCAUCUCCGGGGGUAGAGCACUGUUUCGGCAAGGGGGUCAUCCCGACUUACCAACCCGAUGCAAACUGCGAAUACCGGAGAAUGUUAUCACGGGAGACACACGGCGGGUGCUAACGUCCGUCGUGAAGAGGGAAACAACCCAGACCGCCAGCUAAGGUCCCAAAGUCAUGGUUAAGUGGGAAACGAUGUGGGAAGGCCCAGACAGCCAGGAUGUUGGCUUAGAAGCAGCCAUCAUUUAAAGAAAGCGUAAUAGCUCACUGGUCGAGUCGGCCUGCGCGGAAGAUGUAACGGGGCUAAACCAUGCACCGAAGCUGCGGCAGCGACGCUGAUGCGUU